rnacentral:tRNA from 1 species
CUGAAUAGGCGGGCCUCGAUCCUGCG